GCCAGCUGCGUUUUAGUUUGCAGUGUAAGGUGCCUUUUAUUAAUUUAUUUGUAAUAAAUGGAAUGAUUCCCUUCCACUGCUCUGCACCUCAUGUCCUACCUGCCCUCUGCUGUGACACUGAAGAACUUAGACGGCAAAGUGAUAUUCCAGAAGAAAUGAGAAUAUAUAAGAGACAACUAACACCACUGAACACCUAACGCAUGAACCACAGACCAGUGCGAGCAACAUGCCGAAAAUAAAAUUGCCUGACUGAUUGAUUUUAGCCUACUUCUAAGCCAAUAAUUGCUUAACAGUGUUCAGAAUUCCAAUUAUGUGCUGAAUAAAUGGCUGGGAGCCUGUAGUGUCUGAUACGUGUAAAUAAAAUCAGAUUUUUCUACCGAA